CACGAAAUGGUGCUCGUGGGACAGUAGGGUACAAGUGCCUCCUCAGCAGCCCUUGGCACUUGCAUGGGGCUUGGGAGAGGAAGGGAUGAGGGAUGGCUCAGCCUCAGCAGCCUCGGGAUGGUGCACGAGGAGGAGCCCGGAAGGCCGGGACACUGUGGCUGGAGCCACUGUCCCAGCAGGGACCCCGAGACCGGCAGUACGCUCUCUGGCCUACUUCCCAGUGAACACAGACUGACACCCCUCAUUGCUUUGCAGACCGCGUGCUUCCGAGAGGAGCGCGAUGUGCUGGUGAACGGCGACUGCCAAUGGAUCACUGCGCUGCACUACGCCUUUCAGGACGAGAACCACCUGUACUUAGUCAUGGAUUACUAUGUGGGUGGUGAUUUACUGACCCUGCUCAGCAAAUUUGAAGACAAGCUUCCAGAAGAUAUGGCGAGGUUCUACAUUGGUGAAAUGGUGCUGGCCAUUGACUCCAUCCAUCAGCUUCAUUACGUGCACAGAGACAUUAAACCUGACAAUGUCCUUUUGGAUGUGAAUGGUCAUAUCCGCCUGGCUGACUUUGGAUCAUGUU
rnacentral:sRNA from 1 species